rnacentral:rRNA from 1 species
CCUACGGGUGGCAGCAGUGAGGAAUAUUGGUCAAUGGGCGCGAGCCUGAACCAGCCAAGUCGCGUGAGGGAUGACGGUCCUACGGGUUGUAAACUUCUUUUGACAGGGAAGAGUAGAAGACGGUACCUGUCGAAUAAGCCACGGCUAACUACGUGCCAGCAGCCGCGGUAAUACGUAGGUGGCAAGCGUUGUCCGGAUUUACUGGGUGUAAAGGGCGUGUAGCCGGGUUGACAAGUCAGAUGUGAAAUCCUGCGGCUUAACCGCAGAACUGCAUUUGAAACUGUUGAUCUUGAGUACUGGAGAGGCAGACGGAAUUCCUAGUGUAGCGGUGAAAUGCGUAGAUAUUAGGAGGAACACCAGUGGCGAAGGCGGUCUGCUGGACAGCAACUGACGGUGAGGCGCGAAAGCGUGGGGAGCAAACAGGAUUAGAUACCCUAGUAGUC